GAAAAACAGACCGGUGGCCAAGCGAAAGAGAUAAGUUAUCCACCUGGGGAGUACGACCGCAAGGUUGAAACUCAAAGGAAUUGACGGGGGCCCGCACAAGCGGAGGAACAUGUGGUUUAAUUCGAUGAUACGCGAGGAACCUUACCCGGGCUCGAACGGUGCAUGAAUAGAUCAGAGAUGGUUUAGUCCUUCGGGACAUGUAUCGAGGUGCUGCAUGGUUGUCGUCAGCUCGUGCCGUGAGGUGUCGGCUUAAGUGCCAUAACGAGCGCAACCCUUGUCGUUAGUUGCCAUCAAGUAAAGUUGGGGACUCUAGCGAGACUGCCACCGUAAGGUGCGAGGAAGGGGGGGAUGACGUCAAAUCAGCACGGCCCUUACGUCCGGGGCGACACACGUGUUACAAUGGCAGGUACAGAGGGCAGCUACCCAGCGAUGGGGUGCGAAUCUCGAAAGCCUGUCUCAGUUCGGAUCGGAGUCUGCAACUCGACUCCGUGAAGUUGGAUUCGCUAGUAAUC
rnacentral:rRNA from 1 species